CGCGAAUGGCUGGGGCUAAAAUCGCCUGGGAGGCUGCUUCAUUCACGUGGCUGGUACCUGAGCCAGAAGGACUUGAAGGCCCAGCGGGCAUGAUCACCUGGAGCAUCUACACGUGGCCGGUCCGUGUGACUUGGCUUCUCACAGCACAGCAGCCUGGCUCUGAGAGGGCGUGUCUCAGGAGAAAGUGAGCUUUCCAGGAGACCAAGGAAGAAGUUGCAAGGUUCCUCUUGGCCUCACCCCAGAAGUCACGGGGAGUCACGGGGAGUAACUUCUGCUGCAUUCUGUUGUUACAGGAACCUCUGAUUGGAGGCCCUCGGAGCUCCCGGGGUCUGUGGACGGGCGCUGGGUCUUGGAGUGAUUUCCGGCCCCAGUGAACAGGUCCUGCCGAUGUCCGAUGUCUGGCCUGUCUGCCCCCUGUGUUCCUGCCCACCGCUACCUUCCAGAUGGGCCAGCUCCCAGCACCUACUGCCUGCCAGGCACUGCGCUCACGUUGGGGACCCAGAAAUAAAUGAGAGACAGCCGCUGUCCAGUGGAAGGAGAAACGUGAAGAGUUAACCGCCACCCAGGAGAGGGUUCCUGAGUCAAGGGCACAUCAAAUGAGGAUAGCUUGUUCUGGAAGAGGCCAUGUGUUGAGCAUCGCUAUGGAGAAAUACGCUCGGCAAGGAACCGAAGCCUCCUGCCAACAGCUAUGUGCGUGAACUCACAGACAGAAAACUGAGACCCAGAACACGGAGGCAACUGCCAGGAUCAUAGAGCCACCAGGGUGUGGCAGCUUUCGAUUCAAAUCCAGGUCUAAUUCCCAAAGGGAGAGGCAGGCAAGCAGCACACCCAGGCCAGAGAAUACUUCUCUCAUCUCUUCCCUCUGAGAACAAGCCACACCUUCUGCCAUCAGGGAACAGGCCACAGUCUCCACCCAGACUCCCCGGGGUGAUGAUAGAAAGAGACUGGAGGGUGAUGUCCACGCCACCAGGAGUGUCAGAGGUCGUGGGAACUGAGACCCAGAGACUCAGUUCCAAGGACUUUUCCAAGGACUCCCAUCUAGUGCUCCUGCCUCUCAAGGACAGCUUUGGGGUAGGAGACAGAGAGAAAAAGGGAAGUCAAAGGUAAGGACGACAAAAUUGAGAUCUCAUCAUUUGGGUCAACCCCACAAUGGGUAGGAUCUACAUAAACCAGUGUCACAGGUGGUCCCAGUGGGAGCCUCUGCAGCCUCAGGGGCCUCACAGAAAAGCUCUGAGAGCAGUGCCUGGCCUGUGGCAGGGCCUGAUGAAAAGCCCUGCACCAUUCAUUUGCUGUGACCUUGGGUUGCCCCAUUCAUUCAUUCAUUCAUUCAUUCAAUAAGUAUUUACUGACCAUCUGCUAUGUGCUGUUUUAGGAGCUUGGGAUAUUUCAGCGAACACAAGAUCCUUGUCCUUAUGAAGCUUAAAAUACAGAGGUUUCCUAUAUCAGUUCUAAAGUAUCCUACAAGUGAAAGGUGCUGUAAGAGAGGAAAAAGUAAAGGGGGGUAAGAGGACCAAGAGUGAGGACAAUGUGUAUGGAGCGGGUGGGAUGAAAUUGUAAAGGGUUUUAGCUAUCUCAGGUAGGCCUCCUUGAGACUGCCUCCUUUGAAGAAAGACUUGAAGGAGGCGAGGGGUGCCAUAUAAAGAGUGAACCAUAUGGAAAUCUGGAGGGAAGACAUUCAGGUAAAUUACACAUUGAUUAUAUAUUAGGAGUGAAGGGGAAUUAUGUCUGCGACUUACUCUAACAGUUCAGAAAAAAUAAAUUAUAUAGAUAUAGAGCGACAGUAUGUACAUGUAUAUAGACAUGUAAAUAU